ACCUUCCAUCACAGUCUAUUUAAUGCAUGAAAAGGGGCGGAAGAAAUAUCCCUUAGGUCUGGGGAAACUGUCAGGGACAGUGACAUCAGACGCAAAACCACCAACCAGGGCCAAGGAGACCAGAGCCCAGCCCCCUUGCCGGGUCGUCCUGGUUAGACAGACGAUGCCACCUCGGCCCGUCUGCACCAUGGGCUGCACGCUGCUCUGCUGUGUGGCCCUGUGUCUCCUGGGAGCAGUCCCCAUGGACACUGGAGUUACUCAGAUACCAAAGCACCUGGUCAUGGGAAUGAGAAGUAAGAAGUCUUUGACAUGCGAACAACGCCUGGGACAUAAUGCUAUGUACUGGUAUAAGCAGAGCGCUCAGAAGCCCCCACAGCUCAUGUUUUCCUACAACUAUAGGGAACUCAGGGAAAACAUGACUGUCCCGAGCCGCUUCUCACCUGAAUGCCCAGACAGCUCCCACUUACACCUUCACGUGGACGCCCUGGAGCCAGAAGACUCCGCUGUGUAUCUCUGUGCCAGCAGCCAAGACACAGCCUUGCAGAGUCACCUUCUGCCUGUGCAGAAACCUCCCGGGUCCAGCCAGGAAGCUGUGGGGCCACCAGGGCUCCGCUCAGCAUUUCCCGUGAGGCCCUAGACGGAACU